rnacentral:rRNA from 1 species
AGGUCACUGCUAUCGGUGUUCGACUAAGCCAUGCAAGUCAUAUGUUCCUCGUGAACAUGGCAUACUGCUCAGUAACACGUGGAUAACCUGCCCUUGGGUCUGGGAUAACCCCGGGAAACUGGGGAUAAUACCGGAUAACGCAUAUGUGCUGGAAUGCUUUAUGCGUAAAAUGGAUUCGUCCGCCCAAGGAUGGGUCUGCGGCCUAUCAGGUAGUAGUGGGUGUAAUGUACCUACUAGCCAACAACGGGUACGGGUUGUGAGAGCAAGAGCCCGGAGAUGGAUUCUGAGACAUGAAUCCAGGCCCUACGGGGCGCAGCAGGCGCGAAAACUUUACAAUGCGGGAAACCGUGAUAAGGGAACACCGAGUGCCAGCAUCAUAUGCUGGCUGUCCAGAUGUGUAAACUACAUCUGUUAGCAAGGGCCGGGCAAGACCGGUGCCAGCCGCCGCGGUAACACCGGCGGCCCGAGUGGUAACCGUUAUUAUUGGGUCUAAAGGGUCCGUGGCCGGUUUGGUCAGUCCUCCGGGAAAUCUGAUAGCUUAACUGUUAGGCUUUCGGGGGAUACUGCCUGGCUUGGAACCGGGAGAGGUAAGAGGUACUACAGGGGUAGGAGUGAAAUCUUGUAAUCCCUGUGAGACCACCUGUGGCGAAGGCGUCUUACCAGAACGGGUUCGACGGUGAGGGACGAAAGCUGGGGGCACGAACCGGAUUAGAUACCCGGGUAGUCCCAGCCGUAAACUAUGCUCGCUAGGUGUCAGGCAUGGCGCGACCGUGUCUGGUGCCGCAGGGAAGCCGUGAAGCGAGCCACCUGGGAAGUACGGCCGCAAGGCUGAAACUUAAAGGAAUUGGCGGGGGAGCACAACAACGGGUGGAGCCUGCGGUUUAAUUGGACUCAACGCCGGACAACUCACCGGGGACGACAGCAAUAUGUAGGCCAGGCUGAAGACCUUGCCUGAAUCGCUGAGAGGAGGUGCAUGGCCGUCGCCAGUUCGUACUGUGAAGCAUCCUGUUAAGUCAGG